CAAGUACUCCCUCCGUUCAAAAAUAUUUGUCGGGAAAUGAACGUAUCUAGACGUAGUUUAGUGUUAGAUAUAUUCAUUUUUAGUCAUUUUUACUAUAAGUAUUUCCGGGCGGAGGGAGUAUUUC
rnacentral:pre_miRNA from 1 species